GAUGAACGCUAGCUACAGGCUUAACACAUGCAAGUCGAGGGGCAGCACAGUGUAGCAAUACACGGGUGGCGACCGGCGCACGGGUGCGUAACGCGUAUCCAACCUUCCCGUUACUCUUGGAUAGCCUUCCGAAAGGGAGAUUAAUACCCCAUAGUAUAACGAAGAGGCAUCUUUUUGUUAUUAAAGAAUUUCGGAAACGGAUAGGCUCGCGUGACAUUAGCUAGAUGGCGGGGUAACGGCCCACCGUGGCAACGAUGUCUAGGGGUUCUGAGAGGAAGGUCCCCCACACUGGAACUGAGACACGGUCCAGACUCCUACGGGAGGCAGCAGUGAGGAAUAUUGGUCAAUGGUCUGACGACUGAACCAGCCAUGCCGCGUGAAGGUCACGGCCCUAUGGGUCUUAAACUUCUUUUGCGAGGGAGCAAUAAGGUCUACGUGUAGUCCGAUGAGAGUACCUCGCGAAUAAGCAUCGGCUAACUCCGUG
rnacentral:rRNA from 1 species